rnacentral:lncRNA from 1 species
CUUUUAAAGAUGUUUUUAUUGAGGUAAAAUUCAUGUAACAUAAAAUUAAACAUUUUAAAGUGUACAAUUCCGUGUCAUUUAGUACAUUCACAAUGUGUGCAACUACUACUUACUCUACCUAGCUCCAAGACAUUUAAUUACCCCAAAAUAAAACUCAUUCCCAAUAAGCAGUUAAUUCCCAUUCUCCACUUCCCCCUACUCCCUGGCAACCAUCAAUCUGCUUUCUGUACCUAAGGAUUUAUCUAUUCUGGAUAUUUCACACGAAUGGAAUCUUAUAGUAUGUGACCUUCUAUGUCUAGCUUCUUUCACUCAACAUGUUUUUGGGGUUCAUUCACGCUGCAGUAUCAGUACUUCAUACCUUUUUAUGGUUGAGCAAUACUUCAUUGUAUGCAUAGACAUUUUGUUUAUCCACUCAUCCAUUGAUGGAUAUCUGGGUCAUUUCCACCUUUUGGUUCUUGUGAAUUGUGCUGCUACAGACAUUUGUGUACAUGUUUUUGUUUGAACACCUGCCUCUUUGGGGCAUAUACCUAAGACUGGGAUUUCUGUGUCAUGCAGUAACCAUGUAUAAGUUGCUGAGGAACCUCCACUCUGGUCCAUCAUUUUACAUUCCCAAUGGCAAUGUUCCAAUUUCUGUGUCUCCACAUUCCCCCAACGUUUUUUAAAAAAUUAUUAUGGCUAUUCUGGUGGGUAUAAGGUGGUUUCUCAUUGUGGUUUUGAUCUGCAUUUUCCUAAUGACUACUGACAUUGAGCGUCUUUUCAUGUGCCUAUUGGCCAUUUGUAUAUUUUUGUUAGAGAAAUGUCUAUUCAAGUCUUUUGUCCAUUUUUAAAAAUUGGAUUGUUUGUCUUUUUGUUGUUGAAUUGUGCAGGAAAUAUUUUUAAAUUUGAAAAAGAUAUCUAAACAUAAAAAUAUUCACCAUAGUAUUAUUUGCAAUAGGGAAAAGGUUGAAAGUGACAUUAAUGUCUAAUAAUAGGGAAUACAAAGACAAUCCCUGUUCUCAAGGGGCACUCUGUCCCAUCAGCAAGACACAAGAAAAACAAUAAAUUCAUUAAUUUCUAUAUUCAGGGUGUACACAGGAUGCUAAAGGAAUUCAGAAGAGGGGUGGAGAGGGUGUCAGGGAAGGAAGGUUUCCCCAGACAGGUGGAGAAAUGUGAGGGUAGGUGUGUGCAAGGCAGAAAGCCGGCACUCAUCCAUAGCUAUGAAAGAGAAUGAUACAAUUGGAGAACCACAAACAAUUUUUUGGGUUGUGGUAUAAGUUUCAGUGUAGUGAUGCAGGAAGGAGCUGGAACAAGAGAAUCUUUUGUGCUAAAUCUUUACCUGAAAACUCAAGGAGCUUCCAAAGGAGGUGAAUUCCAAACAUCAACCUUAUGGUUUGGAGAAAUCACUCUGACAGCCACAUGGAGGAUGGGCGAUGGGGCCAGACUAGGGGCCAGUCAGGAGGCAUACCAAGACAGGAUGAACUAAGCAGCUAUCAGGAGAGAAGAGGUAAGAAGGUUGGGGAACAAAUAUAAUUCCUAGAUCAUAGUUCCUGCCUGAUAUGGGUUGGAUUGUGUCCCCUCAAGACAGAUAAGGUUUUUUUAAAGAUUUUAUUUAUUUAUUCAUGAGAGACACAGAGAGAUAGAGAGAGAGGCAGAGACACAGGCAGAGGAAGAAGCAGGCUCCAUGCAGGGAGCCCAAUGCAGGACUUGAUCCCGGGUCUCCAGGAUCAUGCCCUGGGCUGAAGGCAGUGCUAAACCGCUGAGCCACCCGGGCUGCUGAAGACAGAUAUGUUGAAGUCCUAGCUCCCAGUACCACAGGAUGUGACCCUGUUCUGAAAUAGGGUCACUGCAGCUAUAAUUGUUAAAAUGAGGUCAUCCUACAGUAGGGUGGACCCCUAAUUCAAUAGGACUUAUGUCCUAAAAGAAGACAGCAUAUGAAGACAGAGACACGGAGGAAGAAGGCCAUGUGAUGAUAAGGCACAGACUAGGGAUGUGCAGCUCUAAGCCAAGGAAUGCCAAAGAUUUCCAGCAAACCACCAGAAGUUAGGAAUAGGCAAAGAGAGAUUCUCCCAACAGGUUUCAGAGAGAACGUAGACCUGAUGACAUAGGGUUGGAGGGGCAGAGGGAGAGAGAGAAUCUUAAGCAGACUCCCCACUGAGUGUAAGUCCAACUCUGGCCUUGAUAGGAUGACCCUGAGAUCACGACCUUAGUUGAAACCAAGAGUCAGAUGCUUAACCAAAUGAGCCAUCCAGGCUCCCUUCAGUCAGACUGAGUUAUAAGUGUUUCACCCAAAGCAACUCAUUCCAUCCUCUCAGUUCUCCGUGAGGAAGAUUCUACUAGCAUUCUUACUUUAUAUUUAGGGAAAUGGAAACACAGAAUGGUCAAGCAAACGUCCCAAGGUUUCAAAGCUUGGGAAAUGGCAGAGCCAAGAUUUGAUGCCUGGCAGGCUGACUGCAAGCUCUAGUGCUCUUGCCCAAUAUGCUAUACAGCCAUUCUGAUAAAUUUGCUGUACGUUUCGUGGGAUGGAUGAAUGAAUGAAUCAGUACAUCUGGACAUGGUACCAGCGAGAAAAAUGGGGCCAAUGAAGAAAAGAGAGGGA